CGUAGGGUGCGAGCGUUAAUCGGAAUUACUGGCGUAAAGCGUGCGCAGGCGGUUUGUAAGACAGAUGUGAAAUCCCCGGGCUCAACCUGGACCUGCAUUUGUGACUGCAAGGCUAGAGUACGGUAGAGGGGGAGUGGAAUUCCGCGUGUAGCAGUGAAAUGCGUAGAUAUGCGGAGGAACACCGAUGGCGAAGGCAAUCCCCUCGGACCUGUACUGACGCUCAUGCACGAAAGCGUGGGGAGCAAACAGGAUUAGAUACCCUGGUAGUCCACGCCCUAAACGAUGUCAACUGGUUGUUGGGUCUUUACUGACUCAGUAACGAAGCUAACGCGUGAAGUUGACCGCCUGGGGAGUACGGCCGCAAGGUUG
rnacentral:rRNA from 1 species